rnacentral:rRNA from 1 species
UCAGGGUUCGAUUCCGGAGAGGGAGCAUGAGAAACGGCUGCCACAUCCAAGGAAGGCAGCAGGCGCGCAAAUUACCCACUCCUAGCACAGUGAGGUAGUGACGAAAAAUAACGAUGCGGGUCCUCUCACGAGGGUCCGCAAUCGGAAUGAGUACACUUUAAAUCCUUUAACGAGGAUCAAUUGGAGGGCAAGUCUGGUGCCAGCAGCCGCGGUAAUUCCAGCUCCAAUAGCGUAUAUUAAAGUUGUUGCAGUUAAAAAGCUCGUAGUUGGAUCUCUGGCGUGGGCGAAUGGUGCUCCCUUGCGUGGAGUCUACUGUUCGUUCCUGCCUAACUGCCGGACGUCUCUGGAUGCGCUUCGUUGGGUGUCCAAGGGAUGGCCGGCGCGUUUACUUUGAAGAAAUUAGA